AAUAACUGCAACAUUUCUCUUGCAUUCAUCGAUGAAAUAAAUCCGCUCCACUCCAGUGAAACCGGAGGGAUCGAUUAUACUCAGCCAGGGAUCAGCCAGAGGUGGUGCGCCUGUGCGGCAUGACCGCGCUCACCAGCGGAUGAUUAAGACGGACCUGACUGUUGCUAGGAGACCGCUGACGCCAGACGUGCACGAGAGAAAGAGAGAGAGAGAGAGAGAGAGCACAAGGGGGGAGGAGGGGGGGGGGAGACAUUCAUGCCCCCCUGCGGUGCGACUCCACAACGACCGACGGAUUCGAAUUAUUUAUAGGGACGUGGUUUACGCAGAUACGUGGAUACAUUUGAACAUUGGGCUGCAAUAGUGAAUCAAUGGAAUAAUAGAAUUAGACACAAGGCUGCAGAGUGCUGCUCUGCGCAGAAUUGCAAAAAAAAAAGUAUUUUCUGCCUUCAUACUGGACUUUGAUGAUCAGUCCUUUGCAUAAUCUGCAGUGUGCACAUCAGGGCGGUAACGCUUUGUAACUGUGCCCCUUUUAUCUCAAUGAAUGAAGUCAUUGCAUGUGAUUGUGUAGCAUGUACUACACAUUUUUGCCGCAUAGGUGAUAGUUGAGAAAACCAUCUAGAGAUCAAAAGGUACAGAUUUAUCUUCCUCCAACCUGUUUUUUCAGACAAAGCGAAAUGAAAAGACGCGAUUGGGGCCGUGCCCCAAAUCCCUGCCUUCAUCGUUUGGCCCUGCAGAUGUUAACAGAUGUUAAUAAUUGUUUGGCCUUAAAUUGAGCUGAAGUUGGAUGAUCUUAAGGCUGCUUGCUUUUGUUGGAUUUUAUAGAAUAUGUUGCCUUUGUUUCUCGUUAUUUUUGGUUGAACAAAACGCUGGCUUUCCAAAUGUCUGUUUCAUUUGGCUUUUACGUUCCACCUUCUCAUUAAAGCUGUAAUAAAAAAAUAUUUGUAUUUUA